CUUCGUCCAUAUAAAAAUAAACACUAGGGUUUCCUAAAUCAAUUUCUUCUUUCCAAUUCUGCCUGAAGCUCUCAUCUUCGGGUGAUUUUUAAUGGCUUCUCCUCUGCUGAAUCAUCCAUUUCUGGAGCAUUCUAUGUGGAUUAUCAAUUAUUGCCUGGCCCUCUCUGUUGCAUCUUGAUUCCCAGAUAUCAACAGAUUCAGGGAGUUGUUUGUUGCAGAUUUUCUAAGUCCUGCUUGUAUGCCCAAGUGUAGAUUAGGGUGAAAUAAAUGACUGAUCUAGCCCAUAAAUACUUGUCCCUGAAAUUGACUCCCAGGUGUACUAAUAGUAUAGAAAACCAGUGAUCCCCCUUUAUUGCUAACAUUACAUGCUGUAUUCUGAAGUUGUAAAUAUGAGAUAGUACUUUCUUAAUUUUUGUGAAUCUCCCCUAUCUUUCUUUUCUCGAUGUAACUCUAAUAUAAGGACACUACAUCUUGUCACUAUUUAAAAUUCUCCUUGCUUUGCUAUCGAGCUGUUGAAAUGAAUUAACUUCGAAAUUUCCUUUAUC